ensembl:lncRNA
GUAAGAAGUUAUGACCUGCAGUCUAUCGGAGUCAGAUAUAAACCAAGUUUAGGUGGAGUUUAUUUUCGGUAUGCUGACAUUUUCGUACUGCGUGCUAGCUAGCAUGACGGAGUUUCUAUACAGCUGGGUGGGUGCUCUGCUACUGAUGUUGAACUUUAUUUUGUUCAUACGGUUAAUUAUUAGAGUUGCCAACCGUCCCGUAAAAACAGAAUCGUCUGGUAUUCAGAGAAAAUAUUUCGCGUUUCGCACUGAGGUGAAAAGGAACACAGUUUGUCCCGGACUUCAGCUACAAUGAAAAAGACACAAAGCUGAAGCUGCACAGCUGCCUCUUCUUCUCUCAUUCUCUCCCGUUUCUACUUCAAUCACGAAACUGAUCAAUGAUCAGCUGAUCGGCUUUUCUCUCUUGUUUAUUUAUCGCCCACUUUGCGCCAGAAAGAGGAAACCAGCGGAGGUCGCGCUAAACAACAGCAGCACGUUUAAGCUUGAUCAGCUGUUGUUAGAAUUUAUUUAAUAUUAAUUUCUAGUAUCAGCUGAUGUUUGCUGGAGCCACAGCUGUAAAGCUGCUGGUCAUGAUAUCAGCUUGGUUAUCUGGUGAGAGGGAAACAUGCAGAUGAAACCAGGAGAUGUCCUUACUGAAUCAUCAGAGCUGAACAGGUGACAGCUGGUAACUGUGCAGGGGCGGAUCUAGCAAAGUGUUGCCAGGGGGCCAGCAGGUUUGAUGUGACUCAGAGGAUCAGUUUGAUCAGCAGGUGUUUGAUCUUUUUCCGCCCAGUGGAAGCUUUUAAUAUCUAAAGAGGUGAAGUUGGAAGAGGCGAUUCAUUCUGAUAAAUGGCUUGAAAUGGUGCCGGAUCAUGGCCAUCUAUGGACCCGGUGUUAAGUGGCACAGUGGUUCAGAGGCUGAACUUUGAACGACAUGAUGACACAGCUCUGAGACCUGCUGCCUGCAGGACACAAAUCAUCUGUGGAGAUUCUGAGGUCAGCGAAAUAAAAAUGGAGAGUGGGUGAUGUUCCUGAAUAAAGAUAAAACAUCCACACUUUCAUAUGUAUUAUAGAAGAGGAUGAUCACAGCAGCAACAGCUUCACCAAAUGCAGAAAAUUACAGUAUUUAUUGGAACUUCAAUAGACAUGAAUACAUUUUUUCCUUGUUCCUUUGAGGCAUCAGUGCUGAACUGCUCACAACAUGCUGCUCUUUUUCC